UAACCUGCCCAAGAGAUCGGGAUAACACCUGGAAACAGAUGCUAAUACCGGAUAACAACAGAUGAUGCCUAUCAACUGUUUAAAAGAUGGUUCUGCUAUCACUCUUGGAUGGACCUGCGGUGCAUUAGCUAGUUGGUAGGGUAACGGCCUACCAAGGCGAUGAUGCAUAGCCGAGUUGAGAGACUGAUCGGCCACAUUGGGACUGAGACACGGCCCAAACUCCUACGGGAGGCAGCAGAG
rnacentral:rRNA from 1 species